ACCGAACGCUGGCGGCAGGCCUAACCCAUGCAAGUAGAACGAAGUCUUCGGACUUAGUGGCGGACGGGUGAGUAACACGUGGGAACGUGCCUUUAGGUUCGGAAUAACUCAGGGAAACUUGUGCUAAUACCGAAUGUGCCCUUCGGGGGAAAGAUUUAUCGCCUUUAGAGCGGCCCGCGCCUGAUUAGCUAGUUGGUGAGGUAAAGGCUCACCAAGGCUACGAUCAGUAGCUGGUAUGAGAGGAUGACCAGCCACAUUGGGACUGAGACACGGCCCAAACUCCUACGGGAGGCAUCAGUGGUGAAUCUUGCGCAGUGGGCGAAAGCUUGACGCAGCCAUGCCGCGUUGAUUAUGAAGGUCUUAGGAUUGUAAAAUCCUUUCACCGGUGAAGAUAAUGACUGUAGCCGGAGAAGAAGCCCCGGCUAACUUCGUGCCAGCAGCCGCAGUAAGAC
rnacentral:rRNA from 1 species